CCUACGGGUGGCAGCAGUGGGGAAUAUUGGGCAAUGGAGGAAACUCUGACCCAGCAAUGCCGCGUGAAUGAAGAAGGUCUUCGGAUUGUAAAGUUCUUUCGUCAGGGAAGAAGUCAAUGACGGUUGCUGAAGAAUAUGCUCCGGCUAACUACGUGCCAGCAGCCGCGGUACUACGUAGGGAAGAAGCCUUGUUCCGUAUGACUGGGCGUAAAGGGUGCGUAGGCGGUUGUACAAGUUAGAAGUGAAAUACCCAGGGCUUAACUCGGGUGCUGCUUCUAAAACUGUAUGACUUGAGUGCAGUAGAGGCUAGUGGAAUUCCUAGUGUAGCGGUGGAAUGCGUAGAUAUUAGGAGGAACACCAGAGGCGAAGGCGGCUAACUGGACUGCAACUGACGCUGAGGCACGAAAGUGUGGGGAGCAAACAGGAUUAGAUACCCGAGUAGUC
rnacentral:rRNA from 1 species